rnacentral:lncRNA from 1 species
CUUAAUGACCUUUUAGCCCUCGAAGUAUGGGUGGAUGUUCCGAUGCGGCCUCGAAGUUUAAAAACGUACCUUUCGACCCUCAAAGUAUCUUUGUCGUACCUUUUAGCCCUUUUUAAAAAUACCGGUAUAAAUCGGGGGAUAAACUUGACAAUUAAUAUUCGGGGUAAAGUUUGGGCGUACCUUUUAACCCUCAAAGUAUACAUUUCGUUCUUUUUAACUCCUAAAGAAUACAUUAAAAUACAUUAGAUGUUCCUUUCAACCCUUAAUGUUAAAUGUUUCUUUUAACCCUCACGUGUGAAAUGUCAAAUUUGUCCACCCCGUUAUAUACCGGUAUUUUUAAAAAGGGUUAAAAGGUACGACAAAGAUACUUUGAGGGUCGAAAGGUACGUUUUUAAAUUUGGAGGCCGCAUCGGAACUUCCACCCA